rnacentral:rRNA from 1 species
GGGCGUGGGGCGGCUACACAUGCAGUCGAGCGAGAAAGGCCUUCGGGCUGAGUACAGCGGCGGACGGGUGAGUAACGCGUAGGAAUCUACCUGGUAGUGGGGGACAACAUGGGGAAACUCAUGCUAAUACCGCAUACGCCCUAUGGGGGAAAGCGGGGGACCUUCGGGCCUCGCGCUAUCAGAUGAGCCUGCGUAGGAUUAGCUUGUUGGUGAGGUAAAGGCUCACCAAGGCGACGAUCCUUAGCUGGUCUGAGAGGAUGAUCAGCCACACUGGGACUGAGACACGGCCCAGACUCCUACGGGAGGCAGCAGUGGGGAAUAUUGCGCAAUGGGCGAAAGCCUGACGCAGCCAUGCCGCGUGUGUGAAGAAGGCCUUCGGGUUGUAAAGCACUUUCAAUUGGGAAGAAAGGUUGCGUGUUAAUAGCACGUAGCUGUGACGUUACCUUUAGAAGAAGCACCGGCUAACUCCGUGCCAGCAGCCGCGGUAAUACGGAGGGUGCGAGCGUUAAUCGGAAUUACUGGGCGUAAAGCGCGCGUAGGCGGUUUGUUAAGUCGGAUGUGAAAGCCCCGGGCUCAACCUGGGAAUUGCAUUCGAUACUGGCCGACUAGAGUACGAGAGAGGGAGGUAGAAUUCCACGUGUAGCGGUGAAAUGCGUAGAUAUGUGGAGGAAUACCGGUGGCGAAGGCGGCCUCCUGGCUCGAUACUGACGCUGAGGCGCGAAAGCGUGGGUAGCAAACAGGAUUAGAUACCCUGGUAGUCCACGCUGUAAACGAUGAGUGCUAGGCGGUGGAGGAUUUGACCCCUUCGCUGUCGCAGCUAACGCGCUAAGCACUCCGCCUGGGGAGUACGGUCGCAAGACUAAAACUCAAAGGAAUUGACGGGGGCCCGCACAAGCGGUGGAGCAUGUGGUUUAUUCGACGCACGCGCAGAACUUUACCUGGUUAAUCCACUAGACUACUCGAACGGUGGGUGCCCUUCGGGAUAGUGAGAGUGCUGCAUGCUGUCGUCAGCUCGUGUCGUGAGAUGUGGUAGUUCCGCACGAGCGCACCCUGGUGUCAGUGGCAUCAUAGUUGGGCACUCUGGCCGACUGCGCAAACCGAGAGUGGAUGACUCAGUCGCAUGGCUAUGUCAGCUCAACGAUCCAAUGCUGAUCAAGCCGGAACCUGGGAGUAGCCUAUUUUCA